rnacentral:tRNA from 1 species
GCCGAAGUGGCGGAAUUGGUAGACGCGCUAGAUUCAGGAUCUAGUCCUCGCAAGGGGGUGGGAGUUCGAGUCUCCCCUUCGGCACCA